ACCAGCAGCCAUAUCACCCUGCAACUCACAACUGGCAACCCACUGAAGCUAAGCAGGUGUGAGCCUGGUCAGUACCUGGAUGGAGACCUCCUGGGAAAACCUAAGGUUGCUGCUAGAA
ensembl:rRNA 5S_rRNA 5S ribosomal RNA